UACGUAGGGGGCAAGCGUUAUCCGGAUUUACUGGGUGUAAAGGGAGCGUAGACGGAUGGACAAGUCUGAUGUGAAAGGCUGGGGCUCAACCCCGGGACUGCAUUGGAAACUGCCCGUCUUGAGUGCCGGAGAGGUAAGCGGAAUUCCUAGUGUAGCGGUGAAAUGUGUAGAUAUUAGGAGGAACACCAGUGGCGAAGGCGGCUUACUGGACGGUAACUGACGUUGAGGCUCGAAAGCGUGGGGAGCAAACAGG
rnacentral:rRNA from 1 species